ACGCUGGCGGCGUGCUUAACACAUGCAAGUCGAACGAUGAAGCCUAGCUUGCUAGGUGGAUUAGUGGCGAACGGGUGAGUAAUACGUGAGUAACCUACCUUUGACUCUGGGAUAAGCCUGGGAAACUGGGUCUAAUACCGGAUACGACCAAUCUCCGCAUGGAGUGUUGGUGGAAAGCGUUAUGUAGUGGUUAUAGAUGGGCUCACGGCCUAUCAGCUUGUUGGUGAGGUGACGGCUCACCAAGGCGACGACGGGUAGCCGGCCUGAGAGGGUGACCGGCCACACUGGGACUGAGACACGGCCCAGACUCCUACGGGAGGCAGCAGUGGGGAAUAUUGCACAAUGGGCGCAAGCCUGAUGCAGCGACGCCGCGUGAGGGAUGACGGCCUUCGGGUUGUAAACCUCUGUUAGCAGGGAAGAAGAGAAAUUGACGGUACCUGCAGAGAAAGCGCCGGCUAACUACGUGCCAGCAGCCGCGGUAAUACGUAGGGCGCGAGCGUUGUCCGGAAUUAUUGGGCGUAAAGAGCUUGUAGGCGGUUUGUCGCGUCUGCUGUGAAAGGCCGGGGCUUAACCCCGUGUAUUGCAGUGGGUACGGGCAGACUAGAGUGCAGUAGGGGAGACUGGAACUCCUGGUGUAGCGGUGGAAUGCGCAGAUAUCAGGAAGAACACCGAUGGCGAAGGCAGGUCUCUGGGCUGUAACUGACGCUGAGAAGCGAAAGCAUGGGGAGCGAACAGGAUUAGAUACCCUGGUAGUCCAUGCCGUAAACGUUGGGCACUAGGUGUGGGGGACAUUCCACGUUUUCCGCGCCGUAGCUAACGCAUUAAGUGCCCCGCCUGGGGAGUACGGCCGCAAGGCUAAAACUCAAAGAAAUUGACGGGGGCCCGCACAAGCGGCGGAGCAUGCGGAUUA
rnacentral:rRNA from 1 species